rnacentral:rRNA from 1 species
UACGUAGGGACCAAGCGUUGUUCGGAUUUACUGGGCGUAAAGGGCGCGUAGGCGGCGUGGUAAGUCACUUGUGAAAUCUCUGAGCUUAACUCAGAACGGCCAAGUGAUACUGCUGUGCUAGAGUGCAGAAGGGGCAAUCGGAAUUCUUGGUGUAGCGGUGAAAUGCGUAGAUAUCAAGAGGAACACCUGAGGUGAAGACGGGCUGCUGGGCUGACACUGACGCUGAGGCGCGAAAGCGUGGGGAGCAAACAGG